UAGGAGAUGAUUUAUAAAUUGAAGUAUGCUUGUAAAUGUUGGUGAUUAAUUACGUUUGGCUUAUUGAUAGAGAAAAUGAAUGUAUAUAUAUUCAAAUGUGUAUUGAUUAGGAUUUAUGGCUUAGUAUAUAUAUAAUGGAUUAAUUUAAUUAUAAAAAAAAAUUCUGAGUCGGGUUUUGAUCGGUAAUGCCUCGUAACUCUAAUCCGGCGACGGACACGGGUCGAGGUGUUACAUUUGAUUGGUAUCAGAGCUACCGUUUAGUCGGUUCUAGGACUAAUGUAGCGUGUGUGAGUCUAGCUAUACAUGCCAUAUUUAACUUGCGAUAGUGUGAUAUCUCCCGACUCUGACGAAAAUUGUUUUGAUGAGACAGAUAUGUUUUCCAACCGAACUAAUUCUGAUAGUACAUAAGUAAAUACUCAAAUGUUUGAGUGAAAAUGUGUUGAUGAUGAGUUGAGACUCAUAAAGAUUUGGAAGUUGGUUACGAGCUCGGGGAUAGUCAGAGAAGAUUAUCACACUAUUGACUCCUCUCGAUCAAGAAACGAAGAAAAAGGAUUUGGAUCGGGGGGAAACGAAAGUAAUUGAAUAGUCGAUCGUGUCCGCUAAUAUUCGAGAUUUUGGAGACGCGUUACGAGCUCGGGGAUCAUCAGCAUAGUCUAUCACACUAUCGACUUCUUUUGGUAUCUUGUUAAAAAUUUGAACUCGAUCUUAUGACAUGUAUAGGUUUGAGUAUGUUUUUGGUUAGUUUUGGAUCGUAAAAUAUAAAUAGCCAUGCGAAAAUGAUUUAAAUUCCAUGUUUGUGAUCAGUUUGGUUUUUAAAAAAAAUGGUUGUAUUUGUUUGGUAAUGCCUCGUAACCCUAAUUCGGCGACGGAUACGGGUUAGGGGUGCUACAAGUGUUAUGUACAUUAAGGAUGUGGAAUGGAGAGGGGGAGGAGGAAAUAUAAAAUAUAUGAAUGAUUUGUAUAUAAAUUGGUCAUAUGCCCAAUUAUAUUUGAUAAACGUUGAAUUAGAAAUGACAUAAUGUUUCAUUUCAAUUA